UACCCGCAGCCCAAGUGGUGGUCGAUUUUAUUGAGUCUAAAACGUUCGUAGCCGGUUCGAUAAAUCCUUGGGUAAAUCGGAAAGCUUAACUUUCCGACUUCCGAGGAGACUGUUGAACUUGGGGCCGGGAGAGGCAAGAGGUACUUGAGGGGUAGGGGUAAAAUCCUGUAAUCCUUUAAGGACCACCGGUGGCGAAGGCGUCUUGCUAGAACGGAUCCGACGGUGAGGGACGAAGCCCUGGGUCGCAAACGGG
rnacentral:rRNA from 1 species